UACGAAGGGGGCUAGCGUUGCUCGGAAUCACUGGGCGUAAAGGGUGCGUAGGCGGGUCUUUAAGUCAGGGGUGAAAUCCUGGAGCUCAACUCCCAGAACUGCCUUUGAUACUGAGGAUCUUGAGUUCGGGAGAGGUGAGUGGAACUGCGAGUGUAGAGGUGAAAUUCGUAGAUAUUCGCAAGAACACCAGUGGCGAAGGCGGCUCACUGGCCCGAUACUGACGCUGAGGCACGAAAGCGUGGGGAGCAAACAGG
rnacentral:rRNA from 1 species